rnacentral:lncRNA from 1 species
GGCAACUUUGAUGACUUCAGCUUAGAACAUGCACUCGAACCCACAGGGAAACCUUUUGUGUCUCAGAAGCCACCAUCUCAUGACGAUGGCUUUAACUUGGAAGAUGCUCUUCACCCUGGUGACCCCAAGCAAGAUCCACCUGCGCAUCCUGGAGACACUGAUAACCCCAGGCAAGGUCCACCUGCACAUCCUGGAGACACUGGCAGCAUUGAUGAUUCAGAUCUAUACGAUGGCAAUUUACCAAGAGGACGAGAUGGUGGUGGCAGCGAUGGACGAAAGGACUCAAAUCCAAAUAAUGGUGCAGAAUCUGAGGCUUCUCAGGGAGCAGUAG